rnacentral:rRNA from 1 species
GACGAACGCUGGCGGCGUGCUUAACACAUGCAAGUCGAACGGAAAGGCCCUGCUUUUGUGGGGUGCUCGAGUGGCGAACGGGUUAGUACCAAGUGAGUAACCUGCCCUUGCCUUUGGGAUAACUUCAGACAACUGGUGCUAAUACCUGAUAGGAGCUCCUGCUGCAUGGUGGGGGUUGGAAAGUUUCGGCGGUUGGGGAUGGACUCGCGGCUUAUCAGCUUGUUGGUGGGGUAGUGGCUUACCAAGGCUUUGGCGGGUAGCCGGCCUGAGAGGGUGACCGGCCACAUAGGGACUGAGAGACGGGCCAGACUCCUACGGGAGGCAGCAGUGGGGAAUAUUGCACAAUGGGCGGAAGCCUGAUGCAGCAACGCCGCGUGUGGGAUGAGGGCCUUCGGGGUGUAAACCGCUUUCGCAUGUGACGAAGCGUGAGUGACGGUAAUGGGUAAAGAAGCACCGGCUAACUACGUG